UACGUAGGGUGCAAGCGUUGUCCGGAAUUAUUGGGCGUAAAGAGCUCGUAGGCGGUUUGUUGCGUCGGCUGUGAAAUCCCGAGGCUCAACCUCGGGUCUGCAGUCGAUACGAGCAAACUAGAGUGUUGCAGGGGAGACUGGAAUUCCUGGUGUAGCGGUGAAAUGACGCAGAUAUCAGGAGGAACACCGGUGGCGAAGGCGGGUCUC
rnacentral:rRNA from 1 species